AACAGCAUCUGUAACUCACCAUCCACACUGGGGUGUCCCUGAGAGGAAGAGGAAUGCUCAGAAUAAUGAUGUCGGAGCAGCAGCCUUACAUGAGCAAUCGAGGGAAACCAGAACACUGGGCGCGGGAAAAAAAAACCCACGGCACACAGAGAGCUAGUGAUGGACCUCAAGACCCACAGGCAUUUACUUGACAGUCAAGAAGAUGACAGACGCUAGAGAAAGUAGCCAAGGAGCUAAAGGGAUCUGCAACCCUAUAGGUGGAACAACAUUAUGAACUAACCAG
rnacentral:lncRNA from 1 species